rnacentral:lncRNA from 1 species
CAUCCCAGCCGGGCCACUCUGGGCUGUUACUGUGAAAGCAAGCACUGGGUUCCCGGAGCCCGGGAGGGGCUGCUCCCGGGGUCCUACCCUGGGAAGAGGGUGGGGGGGUUCUGCCUUCCCGAGGGGGGCUCUGCACCAUCCCUCCGGCGGCCCGCGCCCCCCGGGAGACCCGGCUCGUCGCAGAGUGAUUGGUGCGGGUUCGGAGCCCGGCCGGGGGGACAGGAAGCCGGGGGCGGCCCCCCGGCCUCCCGGCUCAGCCCCGGUUUGGAAAGUUGGUGCAGGCGUAGGAGCUCAGGGUCGCGAGGCGCCUCGGCAGCCCCGAGCCGGGCGGGCUGUGGGGCGGCGAGAGCCCCGAGCGGCCCCCGAGUGCGCGCCGUGGCCGCGGGGAGCCGGGCGCCUCGGGGCCGCCGCGCUCUCAAGUUUGCUGCCCCCGCCGAGUGGGGGCGGGGAGGCUGGGGCGGUCGCCGCGCCCCCGCCCCCGCCCCCGGCCCGGCCCCGGCCCCGGCCCCCGCCCCGGCCCCGGCCCGGGAACCCCCGCACCCCGGCCCGCGCCGCCGCCGACCGUCCUCGGGCGGAGGGGCGUCUCCCCCGCCCGCGCCCCCCGCCGCUGCGGCCGCGCUCCGCUCCCGCCCGCCCGGCCCGGCCGGUACCUGGUGGGGGGCGCCCCGGGAGCCGCGGCAGCGCCCAGCGCCGGCUCCAUCCUCGGGUCCGGAGUCAGGCUCGCCCGGGGCCGGCGGGCGGCGGCGGCGGCAUCGGCGGCGGCAUCCUCCGCCUUCCGCGCCCUCCUGCUCGGCCUCCCCGCUCCCUCCUCUCCCACCGCCUCCGCGCGCCCCUCACGGGCCCCUCUUCAUGGCCCGGGGGCGCGAGCCCGGGGCGGCCCGGCGGCGCACAGCGUUCCCCGGGCGGGGCGCGGGGCCGGGGACCGGGGCGCGAGGGCCCGAGGGGCGCGGGCCGGGGCCGGGGCCGGAGCCGGGACCCAGCGCGCCGCAGCCCCGGGGCCGGAGGAGAGCAGCCGCCGCAGCCGCCGGAGCCUCGCCGAGCGCCCGCCCGCCCGCCUGCGACCCGAGCCCCGAGCCCCGAGCCCCGAGCCCCGAGCCCCGAGCGGCGGCGCUGGCUACCGCGGCCGCUAUAGCGCCGAGCGAGCGGCGGGCGCUGCGGCCCCGGCUCCACCCCCGAGCCGCCCGCCCCCUCCUCGUCCCGCCCCUCCCGCGCGCCCUCCCGCGCCCCGCGCCGCCCCGCGCCCCGGCCUCCAGCUCCGGAUGCCCCCACCGCAGGCGGGCUCCCGCGCCGGCCCUCCCCUCCCCGCACCCUGCCCCCAGCUGCCCGGAGGGGGCCACACCCACACCCACACCCACACCCACACCCCCGGCUUGGGGGCUCGCCGGCCGGCGAGGGCACGGGCUACCCCCUGGCACCUCUUCCCAUACCCUCCGGGCCCUCCCAGCGAGGGCACUCACCGAGCGUCCCCCAAGAAGUGCAGCUGGAGCCCCAACCUGGCCCCCGGCCCGAUGUCCUCUACCCCGCCCCAGGCCAGCACCACCGAGGGCCUCCAGAACCCAGAACGGGAGCCAUCCACCUCUUGGUGCCAGUACCCCAACACACACCCCUAGCCUGUUACCCCCCCAACCCCCAACCUUUAUCUCUCAGAUGCGCACCUGA